UACAGAGGUCUCAAGCGUUGUUCGGAUUCAUUGGGCGUAAAGGGUGCGUAGGCGGCGCGGUAAGUCGGGUGUGAAAUCUCGGAGCUUAACUUCGAAACUGCAUUCGAUACUGCCUUGCUCGAGUACUGGAGAGGAGAUUGGAAUUUACGGUGUAGCAGUGAAAUGCGUAGAUAUCGUAAGGAAGACCAGUGGCGAAGGCGAAUCUCUGGACAGUUACUGACACUGAGGCACGAAGGCCAGGGGAGCAAACGGG
rnacentral:rRNA from 1 species